AAAACAAAAGUAAACUUUACAUGUGGCUUCGACCCAUAGUGUGGCCUAAGCCUUGUUUUA
rnacentral:tRNA from 1 species